rnacentral:misc_RNA from 1 species
GUCCAGCAGGAAAAGGGCGACGACGCCGUCUCGCCGGCCGACUGGCGGGAGAUCGGCCGCGAGGAGGCCCUGGGGAGGGACGCGCAGCUGCGGGCGGCGCUCGAAGAGUUGCCGGAUCAGUAGCGAAAUUCACUUAAAAGCCGUUCUCCUUGCGGUGUGAUCCCGGACAGGAUAGAGCAAAAAAGGAGAGGCAACCUUGUCCCAGAGAGUGCACGAGAGCGUGGAGGU